rnacentral:lncRNA from 1 species
UCCCGCCUCAGCCUGCCCAGUAGCUGGGAUGACAGCAGGCACCACCAUGCCCGGCUGGACCUUUUAUUCUAAUAUUUAAGGUAAAUGAUGAGGUAGGUAAAAGCCUAAGAUUGUUUUUAAAAUAAAUCCCGGAAUCUUUUUAACGUGGGCGUUUAAUCUGUUUCUAUGUAAUGUCAUUACAUUAAGUUGGUCUUCUGACAUACGUUAUGUUUUUUCCUUAUGAUUUGGCUGUUUCUGCUGCCUGCUAAAUGGCAAUGUUUUUAUUUUGAAUGAACAAAAACAACUAUAUGUUAUACAUUUCUAAU